GACGAACCGUGCAAACGUUGUUCGGAAUCACUGGGCUUAAAGGGCGCGUAGCGGGUUCCCAAGUCGGUGGUGAAAUCUUUCAGCUCAACUGGAAAAGUGCCGCCGAUACUGGGAGUCUUGAGGGAGGUAGGGGUCAAGGGAACUGGUGGUGGAGCGGUGAAAUGCGUAGAUAUCACUAGGAACGCCGGUGGCGAAAGCGCUCGACUGGACCUCUUCUGACGCUGAGGCGCGAAAGCCAGGGGAGCAAACGGG
rnacentral:rRNA from 1 species